rnacentral:rRNA from 1 species
AUUGAACGCUGGCGGCAGGCCUAACACAUGCAAGUCGAGCGGAGCGGCGGACGGGGGAGUAAUGCCUAGGAAUCUGCCCGGUAGUGAGGGAUAACGUCCGGGAAGGGGCGCUAAUACCGCAUACUAGCAGGUGAGCCUAGGUCGGAUUGGCUAGUGGGUGGGGUAAAGGCCUACCAAGGCGACGAUCCGUAGCUGGUCUGAGAGGAUGAUCAGCCACACUGGAACUGAGACACGGCCCAGACUCCUACGGGAGGCAGCAGUGGGGAAUAUUGGGCAAUGGGCGAAAGUCUGACCCAGCCAUGCCGCGUGUGUGAAGAAGGUUUUCGGAUUGUAAAGCUCUUUAAGUUGGGAGGCGGUACCAACAGAAUAAGCACCGGCUAACUUCGUGCCAGCAGCCGCGGUAAUAC